ensembl:rRNA 5S_rRNA 5S ribosomal RNA
GUCUACAGCCAUACCACCCUGAACGUGCCUGAUCUCAUCUGAUCUUGGAAGCUCAUCCGGGUUGAGCCUGGCUAGCUUGGAUGAGAGACACCCUGGGAAUACCGGGUACUAUAGGCU